CAGAAUGGCAAAAGGAAAGAUAGCUUAAUUAUCAAAUGUCAAAACCAUUAAAAAGGAGAGAGGGAUAUUAAUACCUGUGGAAUUAAGAAUUUAGAAGGAAUUAGACAAAUUAUAAUAAGUCAUGAAAUCAAUUGACUUCCUAAGUGCUGCCAGAACAGAAAUGCUGCUGCCACUGCCAGGCAGAUGCUUUGAAAC